UGCAGGGAGGACCAUGCCCAAUAAAACUGAUUUAACCUUGGGAAGGGUCAGUUUCUUCAUUAGGACAAUGAAGAAAAAUCCAGCUGUCCCUUCCAAGAGGAGGUAUCAUGAGCAGUAUCAAGGUAAGCAAGGGAACCUGGUUUGGAAUGCUGGUUGACACCGGCUCUUACUUUAAGAAGUCGCAAGAGACAGCCACAAGAGAGGAAGCCACAGACCAGGGGAGCAAGCUGGAGGAGCAGGACCCUAGACCUCUGCAGCCCACACCAGGGGUCAUGGAGGGGAACAAGCUGGAGGAGCAGGACUCUAGCCCUCCACAGCCCACCCCAGGGCUCAUGAAGGGGGACAAGCGUGAGGAGCAGGGGCUGGGCCCCGAACCUGCGGCGCCCCAGCAGCCCACGGCGGAGGAGGAGGCCCUGAUCGAGUUCCACCGCUCCUACCGAGAGCUCUUCGAGUUCUUCUGCAACAACACCACCAUCCACGGCGCCAUCCGCCUGGUGUGCUCCCAGCACAACCGCAUGAAGACGGCCUUCUGGGCAGUGCUGUGGCUCUGCACCUUUGGCAUGAUG
rnacentral:sRNA from 1 species